ensembl:lncRNA
GCUGGAAUGGGCAUAACCAAAGCUUCCUGGAAGAGCAGAUCACUGAAGAAAGAAACUGUGAAACAGUGCCGUUAUUAGAGGUGAUGUUCAGAAUGGACAACCACAUGGGCAAGGCAUCCAAGCCUUAGGCUGGAGCUGGGAUCUGGACCACCUGAGGGAGCAACACAUUAACUCUUUGUCUGCUGGACCCUGAGAAGCCCGGCAGGAUGAGCGACCCCAGGGAAGUGCCCAGAAUGGUCAGGACAGUGGGGCAUACUCUUUCCCAACAGCCUUAGGGGAGGGUAUGAUGCUCCCCAGCUUUUGCAGAUGAAAAAGAAGCACGAACAUGAAAGCACUUGUCUAAGGUCCCCGAGCUGGUGAGAAGCAGACACAAGGUUCCAACCCAGGUGGUUUGCAUGUGGAAUCUUGUUCUGGACGUGGC